CCGGUGCGCGAGUCGGCUCCAGCGCCAACACGCAAGCGCCACUCUCGGAGAGGGCGCCCACUCCAACGCCCGCUCCGCAGCCGUAGUGCGCAGGCGCUGAGCUCGAAGUCCUCACCCGCACCCUCUCCCAAGACCCGAACAGAAGCUUUCUCCGCCUUCACUUCCUUUACAUCAAAGCCCUUUCGCCAUUCCCUGCCUCAAUGCGCAGGCGCCAGAGAUAGACCAUCUUCUCCGUUUCCCUCCAACUCCCCGUCACCCCCAGCCCCAGACCAAGCACGCAAACGCAGCAAGUGAAAAGAACAAUCUGAACUUGAAGUCAGAAGACGAGCUGAAAUCCUAGAAAUCAUUUACCAUCUGAUAAACUUAGGCAAAUCACUUAAUGAUGACUUCUCUGAGCCUCUGUUUCCUUAGGGGGUAAAAUGAGGAUCUGGGGAAAGAUGAUCUCUAAACGCCUUUCAGGUCUAGAUGAGAAUCUUCUGAACUCUUGCUAAAUCUGACUCUUUGGAGCUCAGGCUGAUUUGAUUUAGUGUCCUCUGGACAUCUUUCUGCCAUGCUACUGGGGGCUACCUUCUGCCUCCUAGCCUCUGCUUCUGACCUUGGGCUCUGGCUAGGUAGAUCACACAGGGAGGCAGCCUCAGCCCCAUCAGGAUUUAUUCAGGGAUCCCCCAAGCCGACUUGCCUCUUGCUGCACUAAAAUCCCACCUUUUACGUGAAGCCUUUCUGGAUUCCCUUUCAUGCCAGUGCCUCGUUUCUAUUAAUUUUCUCCAGUUUCCCCUGUAUAUAAUUUGUUCAUUCAUAGUUGUUUGCAUGUGGUUUCUCCCAUUAGACAGCAAAUCCCUGGAGAGCAAGGACUGCCUUUUGCCUUCAUGGGCAUCCCUAGCACUUAGCGUAGUGCCUGGCACAUAGCACAGAAUGUGCUUUAAGAUGUUUAUUGAUUGACUGCUCUAGAAACACUAAUUAAAGUAUGAGUUUGCCAGGAUUGCAGCAUGCCAUCCCCAUCCUCCAAGGAGAUCUAGAAAGCAUGACUGAUCUAAAUCCUGAUGGAGAAAUAAAAAAAAAAGUUACAGUUUUUUUGUCAGCUCAGUUUGGCCUAGAAAGACAGACAGAUGUGUGGACACUGGAGAAAGGGUGGAGCCAGUGUUGUGUACCAAGAGAAAAGGAGAUCCUAGACCCAUCCCUGGCCCCAGGAAAGGAACAGGGGCCAACUAGCAGCUCAGUCACCUGUGACCCAAAUUAUAGCUCCAAGGCAGAUGGAGGAGGGGACCUGCAUCUAGGGAGAGCAUUCUGGGGUAAGGGGCAGUUGGGGGCUGAGUCAGUGUACUUAGAAGAGAAGCAAGUUCAGAUGCCAACAGCAGUGGUGUGGCUGGGAUCCCAGGAGCUGAUCAGGGUCUCAGUUCCAGCUUCUAGCUCAGCCUGCAAAAGAAGAACCAGGGCAGGAAUCCCAGACUCAGACCUUGGUCAAGAACUUGCAGAAAUCAGAUGUGGGGUGGGGAUGGAGUGCAGCAAUUAGAUUUUGCUUUGGAGUGCUGAAAGCUUUCAGUUCUCCAACUUGAAUUGUCCUUGAGAUCCUCGAAUAACACAAUAUCCAGUGCUCUAAGAAAGCAGCCACAGGACCAGAACAGACCUCUCUAUUAGGAAGGGAAGGCUCUUCAGAAGCAAAUAGAACCUGGCCCAACACAAGCCUAAAGUCAGGAAAUAGCCUGGAAAAAUGAGUGAAUUAACAAAACAAAACAAAACAAAAGAAUCCCACUAUAAAAAACUAUUCUAGUGACAGGGAUACUGUCACAAAGGCAGAAAAAAAAAUUACCCCCAAACAUCUUCAAGCAAAGCCUCAAAGAAAAUCACAGCCUGGACACAAAUUCCACUAGAAUUCCUGGAAAAGUGGAGCAAGAGGUUUUUGUUUGUCUUUUUAAAAAGUUAAAAGUAUUUUUAUAAAUGGAAUGAGAGUGCUAGAAGAAAAAGCUGGAAAAGAAAUGAGAGCCAUGGAAGAAAGAAUUGAAAAUGGAAUGAACAGCUUGGCAGAAGAGGCAUGAAACCUGCCCAGGCAAUAAACUCCUCUGAAAAUGAGAAGGGACCAAAUCCAGAUAAUUAAAAGUCAUACCAUAGUGGCCAGCCACUACAAAAA